CCCUCGAUAGCUCAGUUGGCAGAGCGUGGGACUGUAACGGGUUACGUAAUCAUCCCGAGGUCGCUGGUUCGAAACCGGCUUGAGGGA